rnacentral:ncRNA from 2 species
AUGCAUGCAAACGGGAGCUCGGCAAACCGGGCUGAGAGGGUGUUUGUGGACACCGACCGUCAACCUGAUCUGGAUAAUGCCAGCGUAGGAAUUCAAUUGCACUUAUAC